rnacentral:rRNA from 1 species
AUACGUAGGGCGCGAGCGUUGUCCGGAUUUACUGGGUGUAAAGGGUGCGUAGGCGGCUCUGCAAGUCAGGUGUGAAAACCAUCGGCUUAACUGAUGGACUGCAUUUGAAACUGUGGGGCUUGAGUGGAGCAGAGGCAGACGGAAUUCCCGGUGUAGCGGUGAAAUGCGUAGAGAUCGGGAGGAACACCAGUGGCGAAGGCGGUCUGCUGGGCUUUAACUGACGCUGAGGCACGAAAGCAUGGGUAGCAAACAGGAUUAGAUACCCUGGUAGUCCAUGCCGUAAACGAUGAUUACUAGGUGUGGGGGGUCUGACCCCCUCCGUGCCGGAGUUAACACAAUAAGUAAUCCACCUGGGAAGUACGACCGCAAGGUUGAA